UUCAAUUUGAAUUUCUAUUUCGAAUUUUAUAAAAAUUUUUUGUUUGUUUGGUUUUUGAAUACGAAUUAAAAAAGCGAAGAAGAUCAAAUUAGUUUACAAUAAAAUGGUAACCGCGACUUCUAUCCAAAAUUGAACAAUACAGCUGUAUUUACAGCUUAAUUUUCGUAUUGCAAAUUUUCUUCCGACAAGAACCCAAUAUGCUAAAUUGCAGUCCAUUCGUUCGGAAAUCGGGACAAGGGUGUUGUUGCGGUGAACCGGUCGUGUGCCAUGCAGCUUAAUUUGUGUUUGCGAUUAUUAUGACAUCCGCUGUUGGUAUUUAGAUGCUGUAAAAUAAUCUUGGAAUAAACUAAUGGUGCUGAAAAAUAAUUUUCGAAAGAGGUGUCCAUCUCCUAAGCCCAACAACCAGCCAACCAACCAGUGAGUGUCAAUGUGUUUGUUCCCUUUUUACCAAGUGAAUGUGGAUAUGGAGCAACGAUACAAACAGAAGAGCUUACGCUGACUUUGGAUUUGCUUGUUGGGCUGGUACUAUUCCCUCCAAUAGACAUGAGUUUACGUCGUUCGUCUUCAUUGGAUCGUCGACAUCGUGAAUUCUAUUCGGUUCCAUUGAAGAUGUUGUAGGUGCCGACAUUGUAUUUAGGUUCCUCGUUAACUGUCGUCAAUUACAGGAUUUGGUUAUGAGCUGGCUGGUGCCGUGAGUGCACACGGCACCGCAUGAUGACGAAAGUAUGGGACAACUUCAAUGCGUAUGUUAUUAAAAAGACGCCAAUUUUAUUAUGAAAAUUACAAACUAUUGAAGAUAAUAGUUAAUAACAAUAAUGAAAUUGGAUUUAAUAUGAGGAAUAAAUAUUUAAGGUAUCUGCAAAUUAAAAAUAUAUUAUAUUUGGUUCCUCAAAGGAUUCGUUCAAUCGAAAUUCGAAAGAAAUCCAAUAUGGAUUACUAUAACCUUAUACCGAAA